AUUCACAACAGGUAAUGGCGCUUUCGUAGAAUAACGAAACAUGCUUCUUCCGCGAAUUACAGGGUUAGGGAAGUAAUAAAAUGUAUCUGUUCUAAGUCUGAAAUAAUUGUACAAAACAUAUACCAUAAUGAAACACAAUUAAGUUAGGAUUAAAGGAAAAAGAUGACGCUACAUCAAUGGCAUAAUUGCAGUCAUUCUGCAGACAAGUGAAAUAGUAAAGGUUAAUUAUAACGCACAUGUAUUGCAUUAAAAGAUCGAGGUAUGGGCGAACGAUACCAGAAGGACAUUUAAACUCAUAGAUAGAAAAUAAACUGACAAAGCCAUGCCUAAAAAAGAAAAAGACAAACCGGCAAAUAAUAGUACACAAGACACAACAUAGAAAACAAAAGAACCCACCAAAAAAACUGGGGGUGAUCUGAGAUGCUUCGAAAGGUUAAAUAUACCUGUCAUAUUGUUGAACUUAUCAUGAGGAAUUAAGCAUAACGCACACAAAUAGAGAGUUUGAGCUAAAAUUGUGAAUAGACUCAUAGAGAGUUGGACAGAUACUAGAUAUUAAAGACGAAAAGAGAGAACAGAAAACAGAAAACGGAUGUACAGCUAUUUUGGAAGAUAAAAAGAGUAAAAGAGGGACGAAAGAUACCAAAGAGACAGUCAAACUCACAAAUCUAAAACAAACUGACAACGCCAUGGCUAAAAAUGAGAAAGACAAACAGACAAACAAUAGUACACAUGACAAAACAUAGAAAACUAAAGAAUAAACAACAUGAACCCCAUCAAAAACUAGGAGUGAUCGCAGGUGCUCCGGAAGGGUAAGCAGAUCCUGCUCCAUAGGUGGCACCCGUCGUGUUGCUUAUGUGAUAACAAAUCAAGUUAAUAGUCUAAUUCGGUAGGUCACAUUCAUGAAAGGGAAGGGGAUUGUAGUUUCGACGUAAGGAACAUAUCCGAUAUCAUUUGUAAAACGGUUUUUCCAUAACGGUCAACUAACUCGUGAUGGCGUCAAAUAUGCAACAUACACAGCGAGGUAAGAUGAUGAAUAGAAUACUACCGGAAAACCUCGAACGCAAUUAUACUAGGAAAAGAAAAUGGAGUUACACAAAAGGGAAAAAGUGAAGUGAAAGAUAUGAUUUAUGUUCUAGUUAUCUCUUAAUGAAUCAAAAAGACAGUGAAUUUAUUAAUGGAAAAGGCACAUUUGAGUCGAUAACACUUUUUGUUGUUUGGCUAGUAUAAGCAGAGGAACCAUAGAGCAGCACCUAUUUGUGUUUGGAAUAUAUUUCUCUUUCUUUGGUAUUGAUGUGUGGAUUGGAUAUAUUCGUCAUUGAAAACGUGAUCUGUUGGAUUUAAUCAUUAUUGGUGAAAAAAGAUUAUCAAUGGACAAUUUGUUGUUGAAUGUAUUAAAACUGUUGAAUUAUCAAACUGUACUUUUAGGUAAAAAGUGUGCAUAUGAAAAACUUAAAGGAUUAUAAACUAAACAGUUGAUAGAGAAAUACAUAUUGAUGUGUAAAGUAUUUGAAUGUGAGUUUAUCUAUUAUGCAUUGAUAACUAUAAAAUUAAUUUUUAAUAAUUGUUGGUAACGCUAUAUUGUGUGAAGCAUUAUAAAAUCAGUAUUUAUAAAAAUUUAGGGCUCGUCCAGGAAAAACUGAAAAAGGCAAACACAAAUAAGCCAUAUUAACUCGCCAAUUAAAUUUUGUGGUAGUCGAUAGUAAUUAUUAUAAAAAUAUGACAACAAGGGUAAAUAAAAUGAAAACAACACUAUAUAUAGUAAAACCAUUUGCGUCCGAAUCGCACUUCUGAACCAACCUGCAAUCGAAGCGCCUAAAGCAAAAUAUCUGAUACCAAGAUUUAUACAUACCGAGUCACGCCAAGAAGUAUACGUUCAAAAAGAAAAUAAAGGCACAGAGAAAAAUAAUUGUAAAGUAAAUAAAAAGAUUAACAUCUGCAUCGCCUAUAAUGUUUAACUUAAACAAAAAGAUUAACAUCUUCAUCGCCUAUAAUGUUUAACUUAAACAAAAAGAUUAACAUCUUCAUCGCCUAUAAUGUUUAACUUAAACAAAAAGAUUAACAUCUUCAUCGCCUAUAAUGUUUAACUUAAACAAAAAGAUUAACAUCUUAAUCGCCUAUAAUGUAUAACUAAA